AUACGUGGGGUGCGAGCGUUGUCCGGAAUUACUGGGCGUAAAGAGCUCGUAGGUGGUUUGUCGCGUCGUCUGUGAAAUUCCGAGGCUUAACUCCGGGCGUGCAGGCGAUACGGGCAUAACUUGAGUACUGUAGGGGAGACUGGAAUUCCUGGUGUAGCGGUGAAAUGCGCAGAUAUCAGGAGGAACACCGGUGGCGAAGGCGGGUCUCUGGGCAGUAACUGACGCUGAGGAGCGAAAGCAUGGGUAGCGAACAGGAUUAGAUACCCUGGUAGUCCAUGCCGUAAACGGUGGGCGCUAGGUGUAGGGGUCUUCCACGACUUCUGUGCCGUAGCUAACGCAUUAAGCGCCCCGCCUGGGGAGUACGGCCGCAAGGCUAAAACUCAAAUGAAUUGACGGGG
rnacentral:rRNA from 1 species